UACAGAGGGGGCAAGCGUUAUUCGGAAUUAUUGGGCGUAAAGGGCGCGUAGGCGGCUUGGCAAGUGGAAGGUGAAAUCCCUCGGCUUAACCGAGGAACUGCCCUCCAAACUGCUUGGCUUGAGACCGGGAGAGGUGAGUGGAAUUCCCAGUGUAGCGGUGAAAUGCGUAGAUAUUGGGAGGAACACCAGUGGCGAAGGCGGCUCACUGGACCGGUACUGACGCUGAUGCGCGGAAAGCGUGGGGAGCAAACGGG
rnacentral:rRNA from 1 species